GGAACCGAUGGUAGAGGGUUAGGAAUUGUCAUCUCUAUGUGCCCAGCAAGGAAACAACUGCAUACUGGUGACACUGGGGGAGAGCUCCUAGGAGAGGAAUGACCGUCCAAGCUGUCCAUGCCAGGGAGCAGGAGAUGAGCAUGUCCUGUGGGGGUCAAGAGGGUCGCUUGGAGGAGCAGCACUUGGGCUUUACCUUGAGGAUUGAGCAGGAUUUUGAAAAAUUCAGCUUCAAUACCAUUUUCUCAUGUUCCAAAAGUUCAAAAGCAAGCACUCAGGAGACAGUUGGCUGUACAUUUGUGUCUCAGGUUUUCUGAGACUAACCGUCCAGUGGAAUUCCAUAAUACCCUGUGCUCCUCACUGUGGAGGACACGGGAAAGCCAGCAGCACGACUGUCUCUGUGAGUGAUGUCAGGGCUGCAGACCCUGAUUGGGAGAGAGAGCAUUAUGGAUGGAAUGGAGCUCGGUGGUGCCUGUCCUCCCAGCUACCCAGGCCCUUUCUGUGUGGCACGACGGACAUGGAGCCAUCGCUUUGAGGUGCAGUGGUGGGCCACUGUCUCCAGCAGCACUGUCCCCGA